UGAGUAAUGCAUCGGAACGUAUCCUGUAAUGGGGGGAUAACGUAGCGAAAGUUACGCUAAUACCGCAUACGCUCGAGAGAGGAAAGUGGGGGAUCGCAAGACCUCACGUUAUAGGAGCGGCCGAUGUCCGAUUAGCUAGUUGGUGGGGUAAAGGCCUACCAAGGCGACGAUCGGUAGCUGGUCUGAGAGGAUGAUCAGCCACACUGGGACUGAGACUACGGCCCAGACUCCUACGGGAGGCAGCAGUGGGGAAUUUUGGACAAUGGGCGAAAGCCUGAUCCAGCCAUGCCGCGUGCGGGAAGAAGGCCUUCGGGUUGUUAAACCGCUUUAGUCCGGGAAAAAGGGGUGCGAGGAUAAUACCCUCGUGCUUUGAUGGUACUGGAAGGAAUAAGCACCGGCUAACUACGUG
rnacentral:rRNA from 1 species